CAGUUCAGUUUACAGGUUAGCAGGCGGCAGCAGCUUGAUCCACUCAUGAACACUUCACAGGUACACCAGCAGUCCAAUUCAAUAGAGUUCAGGAUAGCAAACAUGAAUCAGCAGCGGUGACAUGACCUAGCAGAGACAGCCAGGCCUCAGCCUCAGCUCGAGUCAGCAGGAGGUACCAACAGGACUCCAGGAAAAGUUCUUGGCUGUGUCUCUCAGUGAAGUGAAGAUCAGCGAAGACACAAGACCAAGAAGCGUCGUACAGCUACCUCUACAAGCAAGCCCUCUCACAGUCUGCUGAGCCCUAUUUAUACUCCCUCCAAACAUCACAUGUCUUCCAUGGAUCUUGCCUCAGCAACACGAGUCUGUCUUAGCUGAUGUCACUCUGCCAAUUGAACCUUGGAAGCAAGAAGCCUCAGCACACCAUCAGAAGGUUUUUGGUACAUUUCUCUCUAUGGGGUCCUGACAGAUGCAGCUCAACUAUGCACUGUAAGGUGUCAUUAGUGAACAAUCCUUCAUCACGUGUCCUUUCACAUGCUUGCCUUAUUAGCAGAACAUCCUUUCACCUGUGUCCACUUCAGAAGAACAUUCCUUCACGAGUCUGCCCCUGCAAAACACCAUCUGACGCAACUGACAAGUUUCCACUUCAGGUCCCCACUUGGCAGGGAUCACAGGCUUCUGGAUGGAACAUUCACAAAUGGGCUGCUGGGGGCAGGGCGCGGUGCCGCUGCUUCGCCACCUGGUGGUCACACCUGGGACUGCAGCAUUUCCGAGUGCCAGCUGAGCUAGCCCUGUGCCCUUGGGGAGGAAGGCAGCCUGAGAUGAUGGCUGCUCACCUCUCUGGGGAGUCUCAUUAAACUCGUUUGGACGAGGUGAACACCUGUUCUUCACAGAACCAAGACUGCUGUUGGGUUCACUUCAAGGGCUCCCAUCAAGGAAACCAAAGGCUCAAAGAUGGCCUUACCAGUUCCUGCUCUUUUCUUGUCUCCAGAAUGAGGUCUUCCACUUAAAGCGGUGAGGUUAAAUGAGAAAAUGAACAAAUAAGCAUUUGCUUCCACCACCCCUACUACAACCAGUCACCACCAUCACCAUCAUCACAACCACCAUCAUCAUCACCAUCAUCGAAAUAACUACCACCAUCACCAUCACUACCAUCAGCAACAUCGACACAUCGCCAUCACCUCUGUUUCUGUCUUCUCACUACCGUCACUACGAUGGCUACUGUCUUCAUCGGCACCACCACACUAACACCAUCACCGUCACCCCAGAUACCGCCACUGUACUCUUCCUUCAUCUUUGCCAGCUGAGGCCAUAAUCACAGGCAGAUCCAGAUGGGCUCCUCAGAAGGCAAGGAUAGGACACUGCAGGGUCUCACACUCUGACGUCCACUCUGCUCCGUUUUCCAGCUCACCCUUGUGAGGAGACCUGACAGGAAGUACAGGAGCAGCCACCACAAAGGCCAUCCUCUUCAGUCUCAGUCCGCUAGGCAGGAGGCACUGACGGGCUAUGGGGAAGGAAUUCAGGCCAGGCCUUGUCUCUUCUCCUCUCUUCCUUGAGGGCAUCACUUCAGAGACCCCUGGGGCCCCAGGAGCCCACUUCGAUACUGUCUGCAAAUCCCCUUCAGCUCAUGGCUGGCAGCACCUCAGAGUGUUCCGGGUGUGGAACCCAGGUCCCUGCCUCUGCAGCAAGAUAAAGGCAGGCAUGUGUUUCAGAGCGCCAUUUCUCCAAAUCUCCACCCGAUGACUGUUCUGUUUAUCUGUGGCCGUACAGAGAGGAGCCAGCCAGCAAACAGUAACUGCCGUGGGGGAAGGCAGCUCUUAGUGGAGUGAGGAUGCUCAGACGGCUCAGACGGCUCAGGUGGCUCACCUCUCCAUGGUGGCAGACAAGACACUGGAUUCCUCUGAGCUUUGCUGUCCCAUGGACAUUUCACCCCAAUGUUAACCUGAGCAGGAUCCAGCCCUGACCAUCUAGAGUCAGUGUGGCAUCGGAGCGCUGCAAUGUCAGCUGUCACACAUUACAAAGAGGACAGAAAGCCAUGUCUUGGAUUAAAAUCCUGCCCCAGCCCAAGUGAAAGGACUGGAUAAACUUUGUUUAUUCCCAAAGUGAUCCAAGAGGCACAGAUAAGGGAUUUUGGGGAGGGGGCAGCAAAGUCUGUGACAUAAGACCUGGAUCCUGGAGAGAUGGCUCAGCGGUUAAAAGCACUGACUGCUCUUCCAGAGGACCUGAGUUCAAUUC